CCCUGGUAUAUCCAGGACAUCAGCACAUAGAACCAGUGAAAGGGUCCUCCCUCAUAGUGACGCAUGUCAUAGACUCAGAUUUAUACAAACAAAUGCUGAGCAAACCAUGAAGAGUCUCUGGUAUUUUCAACAAUAUCAUCACAGAGGAACUGUAUUGAUUUCCUUGCACGUUCAGGGUACUGGGAGAGGCAACAGGGAUGGAGGUCCCAUGUCAGGGGACUUCACAGUGUGACGGGAAUGUUCAACCUGCACCUGUUCCUUGCACCAUACUCCAUCCAGCUCUCCGCUCUUCCAGUCAUUUAUGCUCCUGUCUUCCGUGGAGGAAGUCUGGUAGUAUCUCCCCGGGACACUGGCUCAAAUUUCCAGCCACCUGCCCAAGACAGAUGGGACCAGGGGCCAGAUGAUGUGGACAAUGAUGAUGUCACAAAGAGAACCACAGUGAGUCUCUGAGACCUAGUUUUGGCAGAAGGAAGUACCAGAGGGAGCUGAGCUGUUGAACAUUAUGUGCGAUCAUGUAAUAACUGCAAUCGGAAGGGAAACACUCAGAGUCCUGGAGAAAGAGAAAUUCGCAUUUGUGGACGCCUGCUGGGAGCUAGGCACUUUCGAAUAGUUCCUGUCACCUAACUUAAGUAUCAUUACUCAAGUACUAAUUAACUUAGGUAUUAUGCAGAGAAGUCGAAUAAUUAGAAAAGUGGCAUGACUUAUACAAGGCAACAUAACAGCUAGAAUUUAAAUGUAAAACUGCCCGAUUCCAAAUCCACACUCUUUCUACUACAAGGCCUUGCCCCCUUCUCUGGGCCACACCAACAUCGCAGUUGCAGGCGAAGAGGCCAUGUCUAAUGACUGCCCCCUUUACAUGCCAACCUAGUCAUGGUCAUGGUGGUGUGAUAUCUAAAAACAAAAUGGAACCACCAUGAAAAAUUUGUCUCUGAGGACCCAGAGUAGUAAAAUCCCAGGAUAAGGAAGGCCUUUAGCGGAUAUAUGGCCUGCUGUCCCGUUCAGUCUAGAAAACGCCUCCUCAGGGUCCCUGCAGAUGGUCACCUCCCUCUGCAGGAGGACGUCCAGUGGGAGGAGAGCCACUUCCCCAGGUCUCCCUGACACUAAUGUCAGAAGGUGCUUUCUUAGGUUGAAUCAAAAUCUCUCUCCCUGUGUCUUCUCUUUGCUUCCUGUUCUUUUCUCUGGAGCAACAUGAUGUAAAUAAGUUUAUUUUCUUUUGUGCACAUCAGAAUUUCAUAUUCAAAGGACAUCAUCAGCUCUCUUGUUAGAAGGGGUCCAGGCUGAACACCCUCUUUUCUCUCAAUGAUCCCAGCUAUGACACAGUUUUCUGAUCUUCAACAUCCUGGAGGCCCAAGACUAUUCAAAUAUGUCACAAAUAUCUCUAAUCACAUCUUGUGAUUAUGACUUGGAUAGAAGAUAAACAUUAUUUCCAUAAUGAUGAACAUAAGACAUUUGAGAUUUUUUU
ensembl:lncRNA LINC01255 long intergenic non-protein coding RNA 1255